rnacentral:rRNA from 1 species
AUUGAACGCUGGCGGCAGGCCUAACACAUGCAAGUCGAGCGGAGCGGCGGACGGGCGAGUAAUGCCUAGGAAUCUGACUGGUAGUGGGGGAUAACGUACGGAAACGGGCGCUAAUACCGCAUACUAUCAGAUGAGCCUAGGUCGGAUUAUCUAGUUGGUGGGGUAAAGGACUACCAAGGCGACGAUCCGUAACUGGUCUGAGAGGAUGUACAGUCACUCUGGAACUGAGACACGGUCCAGACUCCUACGGGAGGCAGCAGUGGGGAAUAUUGGACAAUGGGCGAAAGCCUGAUCCAGCCAUGUCGCGUGUGUGAAGAAGGUCUUCGGAUUGUAAAGCACUUUCAGUUGGGAGGCGUUACCCGCAGAAUAAGCACCGGCUAACUUCGUGCCAGCAGCCGCGGUAAUAC